rfam:Stereum hirsutum FP-91666 SS1 unplaced genomic scaffold STEHIscaffold_24, whole genome shotgun sequence.
AGCUCGAUAGCGUAACGGUAGCGCGUCUGUCCCCAAUUCUUAUCAUGAAUGGCACGGACUUAAUGGUCGACAGAAAGAUCUCGGUUCGAAUCCGGGUCGAGCUA